ACAGGCGGGUUGAUCUCAGCAUGCAACUCGGAUAUCUCAUCCUCACUGUUUUCUUGGGGCAACUGCAAGGCACCAUGGGGCAGAUCACACUCACCCAGCAAGAAGGACAAGUCACAGUAAAGGAGAGAGAGACCUUUCAAACAACUUGCACAUACCAGACAUCCAACUUCGGAGGAUUGGCUUGGUACCAGCAAAAGAAAGACCAAGCCCCACAGCUCAUCUUGUAUCAGGCAGUUGCUGGCCCCAGGCAGAGCGGCCGUUUCAGCACGCUGCUGAACAGCACAGGGAAAUACAGCCUCCUGAAGCUGCAGGAGGUCGAGCUCUCCGACAGUGCCUUGUACCUCUGUGCUGGGCAAGACACCGUGGUGCAGGCAGCUGCCCCAGCUGUGCAAUAACGCAGGAAGGGAAGGUGCCUCGACUCUCCACUGCCAGCGAUGUUUCCCCUGCCCCCAGAACUCUGCACAGCGAGAUCCUCUUUCUGGCAGGGGCCAUGCCCAGUGGCUCUGGACAUGGCUGAGCCUGACCACAGGGCAGAGCCUGCUGGGAACCAGGGUGCUAGGGGCUUGCACUCA